rnacentral:rRNA from 1 species
UUAAAUUGAAGAGUUUGAUCAUGGCUCAGAUUGAACGCUGGCGGCAGGCCUAACACAUGCAAGUCGAACGGUAACAGGAAGCAGCUUGCUGUUUCGCUGACGAGUGGCGGACGGGUGAGUAAUGUCUGGGAAACUGCCUGAUGGAGGGGGAUAACUACUGGAAACGGUAGCUAAUACCGCAUAACGUCGCAAGACCAAAGAGGGGGACCUUCGGGCCUCUUGCCAUCGGAUGUGCCCAGAUGGGAUUAGCUAGUAGGUGGGGUAACGGCUCACCUAGCGAC